rnacentral:rRNA from 1 species
CUGACGGUAUCCCCUUAGCAAGCACCGGCUAACUCCGUGCCAGCAGCCGCGGUAAUACGGAGGGUGCAAACGUUGCUCGGAAUCAUUGGGCGUAAAGCGCGCGUAGGCGGCUGAACAAGUUGGAUGUGAAAGCCCUGGGCUCAACCUAGGAUGUGCAUUCAAAACUGUUCGGCUUGAGUCUCGGAGGGGGUCAGAGAAUUCUCGGUGUAGAGGUGAAAUUCGUAGAUAUCGGGAGGAACACCAGUGGCGAAGGCGCUGACCUGGACGAUGACUGACGCUGAGGCGCGAAAGCGUGGGGAGCAAACAGGAUUAGAUACCCUGGUAGUCCACGCCGUAAACGAUGAGUGCUAGACGCUGGCGGAUUGACCCCGUCGGUGUCGAAGCUAACGCGUUAAGCACUCCGCCUGGG